CUGCCUGCGAGUGCGCUGAGAGAAACGGAGCGAGGCAGACAGAGGAGAGCUUAAGUUCGACCAGAUAUAUCCUGUAGGGACAUGAGGAGGAAACAGUGGCAAAAGGAGUUAUGUGAGGCUGCUAAAGGCAGUGGAUCCUUCAUCAGACCACAGGCAACAAUAACACAUGUACCAGUUGUUGAACUGCAGAGAUGGACAGGAACAGGAGAGUGAUAGAUGAGAUGAGGAGAUGGAAGGAGGAAGAGAAGCAAAGAUCAGAUACCAUCUCUCCUAUGGACUUUGUAAAUCUGCAGUCUCAGAUCAACACAAUCCUGCCCUUCAGCACUAUCAGCAGCAGGAGCAGCAGCAACCUCUGAAAAGCAGCAUUGUACCCCAUCAGGAUCUUGUGUCUGAGAGGGAUUACUGGACUCACAUUAAUGCAGACUUGAAGAAAAAUGAUGCUCGAAAGGAGUCCCUCAUCAAAGGAUUUUGCAUCUGUCUCAAUUACAAUCGCUGACAUCUUGGUGCAGGAGUACAUGUUGAGCGUUUUGUGAAUAGAUUGUGUCUUUGCAACUUUUCAAAAUGCAUUCAGUUAACCAUAUGAUUAUGAUUGGGCGAUUGGACAAAUAUAUCGACUAUCCUAUCGUCGAUUGCUUUUACAAGGACGAUUUAUUUAUUUGCCCAUGAGUAAGUUUGCUAAUAAUGAUGGAGCUAAUAGAAGAAGUCAACAGAAAAAGAAAUGGCACUGUUUUAACAGCACCUGUUAGGUCUAAUUGUUGAAUGUUGUCAUUGUGUUUCUUAAAUUUGUACAGUCUUAGUUCAAGCAGUAUUAUCAAAGCCAUUCCUUUGAUCCUGAGCACCUCUAACCACUUUGUGUUGGGGGAGCUUUUAUAGUAGAUACAUCCUAUCUGAAAGAUCUGUUUCUUGUGUUGUAAGCUUCCUGCUUUUAUGACCCUUUUGGUCAUCAGGAGGUCACACAAACGCACCCCCAAAACACACACACACACACA
ensembl:lncRNA